rnacentral:lncRNA from 1 species
CAGAUUCUAACCUACUUUGAUGCAAGUCUUCAUAUUGUUAAUAAUUUGGUUUUCUUUUACUUAUAGGCUUCCACAGUUCUGAUAAAUAUUGUACUUUUUAAACUCAAUUUAGGAAUAAUAAUAUUUCUACAGUACCAGUGGAAAUAGGGGAACUUUCUCGGCUCGGGACAUUGGAUCUGCAAUCUAACCAGGUGUCGAAGACUGAGUAUUAUUUAGUUUCUAAUUACUUCUAUUGUAAAGGAAAGGAACUCUUAUACAUAGAAUUUUGUUACAUUAUAGGCAAUUAUAGAUAUGUUGCCAUUUUUGCUUCUGAUGCUUUUGUUCUCUUCUCCCUUAACAGUAAAUAAUUUGUUGUAUUGUUAAUUGAUUUUGUAUAUUCACAGCUGAAAGAGUAUCCUGUGGAGGCAUGCAAAUUGAGUCUUUUAGUCUUGAAUCUUUCAAAUAAUUCACUGAGUGGGUUGCCUCCUGAAAUGGGUAAGUUCAGCAAGUUUUUGUAUUAUGAUAGGUCUAGUUUGCAAUAUUUUGUAAACAUAACAGUUGCAUAAUGAAAACAGUAUAUCAGUUUGCCAGAAAAUAUAUAGGAAUGCAAUUAGUGGGCAUCCCCUUGUUAUAUUAAUUUUAGUAACUCACAAAAUUACGAAGAUACUGUUCAGUAAUAAUACUGUUAAAGGAGUUCAGCAUUCCUUGUCAAAAGAGUUCUUAAUAAGUACUGAUAAGAACAGUAUAUGUCUUGGCUUGAAUUAUUCUUCAAAGUAUAAACAAUGAUGUUCACCUCAAGAGGAACUUGUUACCUGGGAUUCAUGCAGUUGUCAAGGGAGUUGUUCAUUCUGCAUCCUCACCAAUAUUAUGAUCUCUUUAGGUGUCAAUAUGUGAUAGGCUUGUCAGUUAAUAUUUCUAGCUAUUUCAUCUAGUAAAUGGACACCAUUACCUGGAAGUAGUAAAUGGACACAAUUCUGCAUCCUCGCCAAUUAUAUUUUAUACCUGAACCUUUAGUUAUGUAUCUCAAAUUCCUUACGGUAUGAUGUUAUUAUGUGUUGAAAUGAAACAAUUAAAAGUAAUAUGGAGAUUAUUUGACACAAAUGGAGAUAAAUAUCUCAGUAUUGUAUCUUGUGUAGGCAAGAUGACUAGCUUGAGGAAACUUCUGCUUAGUGGGAACCCAUUGCGGUCUCUUCGAAGGUACAAAGAGUGUUUGGUCCUUUAUGCAGUUAAUAUUAGUAUUUUUGUGUUUUUGACUUGUGUCUUUUUCCAUCAGCUCAUUAGUCACUGGACCUACACCAGCGUUACUAAGAUUUCUCCGAAGUAGACUUUCUGAAGGUAAGGUAUCAUGAAGUGUUGGAUGCAUUAGCAUCAUACAUACAACUGAAACUUGAUCCCUUGUACGCAGUCUAGAUAUAAUAUUUUCUUCUGCAGAUUCUGAAGCUGUAACCACAUCAAAAAAAGACAUAAUUGCAAUGGCUACCCGGUUAUCUAUCACUUCAAAGGUAUUGCAUCUUUUGAAGAAAAAUAUACAUUCCACAGAUUGCCUAGCGUUCUCAUUGUCAAUAACUGUUUAUAGUAUGUUUCAUUGUUUUAGUAUUUGAUAGACCACCACUAUUGCAUGGAAAGGGGAAUCUAUUAAAUUGAAAUAGAAAAUUAUUUAAGAGCAAAUUCGAGAAUUAGAAUUAUAGUUUGACCUAACUCAUCCUGUCGAAACCAUCUUGUAAAGUGAGGGGUGUUACUCUAUAUAAACUCUUUCAAGGCUCAAUCCAUAAUCAAUGUGGGACUUUAGAUUUUCCUAAUACACCACUGUUAGCUUUAGAAGUGGUUGACUAACCAACCACCCAAGCAUAAUACAGAUCUUCCAUCAGGCAGUCCCAUGCCGAAGGCCGGAAACUGAAGGACGUGUCAAAAAAGUGAAGGCGCAACAAAAGAAGGUGAAAACCAAAUGAUAAACACGGUUUCCAAAUAAUUGUCUAUGGAAUGGAAGACAGUUGGUUCUCUGGGUAGGCACAGUUUUUAAGGUUAUCUAUGACAAACUCUAGAUACCGUGUUUAAUAAGAGGCUAGAGGCUGGAAACGUUGAAACCAUGUGUUCAAUAGAGACUUGAGGGCAGCCAAUGCGAGGCUCCUACCAAAUGGGGUCUGUCUGAGUAGAGUAGAUCUAUGUAACCUUACCUCUUGCAAGCGGAGAGGUUGUUUCCAAGAUUUCACAUGCCAAGCUAACUUACCGUUGCGCGCCAUGGCCCGCCCUCAAUGUUCAUUAUUGACUAGAGAACAAAAUCAAGCUGAUAAACAGUCUUUUUUGGAUAAAUAUACAAAUAUUGAGUAUCUUUUUUUGUCUAACAGUCAUGUGUUCAGAUCUAAAUUGAUUAUAGUGAGGAUGACAGCGGGUGAAUUAAUGAAUAAUAAUGCAAUCACAUGAUAGACUUACUAGAGAACCCAUGAAUGAAUGAGUUAAUGAAUAAUGAUGCAAUCACAUGAGAGACUUACUAGAGAAGCCAUAAACCUUUGAUAACUUGGAGUUUGCAAUUGAUUGGAUUGAUUCAGGCAAUCCUGUUCUUUAUCGUUUAUGUCUUUCCUAUCCUAUUCAUUUAUUUAGCUUAAAAUUCGCUUAUUUGCUAAUUGCAGCUCUAUUUAUAAUUGUGUUCAGGAAUUUUCUAUGGGAGGGCUGGGGUUGAGUGCUAUUCCAUCAGAAGUAUGGGAAUCAGAGGAGGUCAUAAAACUUGAUCUUUCCAAAAACUCAAUCCAGGAAUUGCCAGUUGAACUUUCUUCUUGUGUUUCUCUCCAGGUUAAACCUUCUCUUCUUGUUUUAAUUCAUGAAAAAAGAUUUACAAGUUCCCCAUAAACCGGAUCUGAUUCACUAUGUUGACUAGUAAUAAUAUAAGUGAUUUCGAUCAUUUGAAACUUAGAACAUUUAAACACUGCAGUAAGAAUGGCUAAAAUAUAUCUACACCUUUUGUAAAAUUUGAAGACGCUGUAGAUUGGUUCGAAAUACAGUUUUGAAGUUUUAAUUGAUAAUAGUUCCCAUUGCUUGUGACAAAGUAAUCCUUCGCGUGCCAUAUGUAAAGGAACACAUACCUUUAGAGAAGAAAUGCUUAUGAAUUCAUGUGAAUUGAUUGCAAAUUUUUCAACCAUUUUCUCUUUAUGGUUUCAUUUUUUUCUCUGAUUGUAGUAUUACUUCUUUUUCACAUUGUUCUUUGUUAGUUCUAUAUGUGCUGGGUUUUUUAUGUACACUAAUGUAUUAAAAACAAAAACAAUGGUCAAGACCCUUAACUUCCCUCUAAAUUUGAAGAUGUGCUUUCUUGAUCAUUUUCAGAGUUCCAUUGUAUAAAGUAAAAUAUUUUCCAUAUGGUAAACCUUUUUAUCUCUGUUGAAUGAGCAUUUCAUUAAAUUAAAUUUCAUGCAUGCUUGGAGCAUUUUACUUAUCUGUUUAUAUGUUUUCAUCUUUAAGUUAUUAAUGUUUAUUGAUCGAUCAAGGUUUGAGGUAGGAAGGAGCACUUAACUGAUUUUCUGUAUGUUAAGAAAAUGUGGUUGGGCGUAACUCAAUCCUACAAAAUCGGUUAGUAGAGUGAGGACUGUCCCCACUUAUAAACACAUGUUCGGACCAUAUAUUAUCCGAUGUGGAACUUUUAACACACCCUCACGCUCAGGACUAGACAAUUGGAGCGUGGAAAUAAAUGGUGGGUGGCCCACCGGAUCUUAAACGAGGCUCUUGAUACCAUGUUAAGAAAAUGUGGUUGGAUCUAACUCAAUCCUACAAAACCGGUUGGUAGAGUGAGGAUUGCCUCCACUUAUAAACAUAUGUCCAAUCCUGGACGUGAGGUUAUGAAAUGUGGUUGGGGCACCCUUAACCCUACAAAACCGGUUGGUAGAGUGAGGACUGCCCCCACUUAUAAACACAUGUUUAUGCCAUAUAUUAUCCGAUGUGAGACUCUUAACACACACCCUCACGCUCAGGACUAGACAACUGGAGUGUGGAAAUAAAUGGUGGGUGACCCGAUAGUGGAAAGCAUAGUAAAUGGCCCACCGGAUCUUAAACGAGACUCUUGAUACCAUAUUUAAUUAGGAGAGAGAGACUAAAAGACAUUUAUGUUAAACCGUGUGUUUUGAAAAACACUACGAAGACUUUAUUAUAUAUAAAGAGAUUACAACUAAUUACAUGAUAUAGUCGAUGUGAUACUAUUCUAUAUACAAAUAUUCUUAACACUAUAUAUUUACAAAUAUCAACAUUGUCCAACUUAAACAUUUCUAGUAAUUCAUUUGUAUAGUUUACACUUUCCAGACAUUGAUUUUAUCAAAGAAUCAAAUUAAAGACUGGCCAGGUUCAAUUCUUCAAUCACUUUCGAGUCUGUCUUGUUUGAAGCUGGACUACAACCCCCUCGGACAGGUAAUGACUAAUGAUUUCGGAGUUUCUCUCUGUUCUCUUGCUUGUAAAAUGAAUUAUCGUAUCAGCGUUUAUAAAGAAUCAUUGUAGGACAUAACACUUUACAAAUAAAAACUAAUAUGGUUUUUCCAAUUGUAAAAUCUAUAUAAAUAAUUCUCCUUCUUUGUCAAUGGAGACUAUUGCUUUUUGUAUAGCUUAAAGAGCUAUAUUUAGAUAAUUCAAACAAAAUAGGCAGUGCAUGUUUAAUUCCUUUAUUGAUGUAUUAGUCUUCAAGUUUUCAUGCUCUACUCUGUUUCUACUGGUAAUGUUUCUCAACUUUUCAUCCCCUCCCCAGAGAAAGGAAAAAAUAAGAGAAAUUGAAAGGUAAUCAUUGCCUAGAAUGUUAGUGGUUAGUACUUAAAACUUCAUUAGAUUUGUUUUCUUAUAAAUGCCACAUACUCUGCUGUAUACGAUGAAACAUUUCCAGAUUCCAGAAACAUCUCCCUUGUCUCAGUGUAUACCUCAAAUUAUUGUGCAGAAAUUGUAAUGAUAAUAUUAAAUAUGUAUUGGUAUGCUUUAUUCUCUGUUAUAAAUUCAAAUCAAAAGUGUGGUAUCACCGACCUUAUAUUUCACUUUAACGAUAGAUACCUUCAAAUGGUUUUGAAGUGGUGCCUAAGCUUCAGAUCCUGGAUCUAAGUGGUAACACAGGUUCAUUACUAGACAGUCCCGCAUUUUCUAGUUUGCCAAACCUGCAAGAGCUUUACCUGAGGUUAGUUAGUUGAAAACUGUAGGAUGUGCAAUAAGACUUUAUCACACACAUGCACGCUUAAUUCAUAUACUUUAUUUCUUGGGAACCUGUAAUUAACUUUCAUGUCACAACUCCACAGAAAAACGGGUCUCGCUGAAGUCCCAUCAGAUAUAUUGGGAUUGCGUCAACUACGGAUCCUUGACUUGAGUCAGAAUUCCCUUCAAUCGGUUCCAGAGGUAACAAUUUUUUUUAUGGUAUUGGUGAUAAAAAACAUGGAUUAGGCUUGUGCAUAUAUAUACCUCUUUGAUUCAGAUCCUGUGAAAAGUUGUGAUAAUAUGCUUCAACUUUAUUGUACUUUGACAUUAAGUUUACCUUAGGUCCAUCAUUUUGUAUAUAUAUGCCUCUUAAAAUUCAGAUCUAUCCAAGCUUAUAUUGGCUCGACCGUAACUUGAGUCCACUAAUUUUUCUCUCAAGUCAUAAUGAUGUCCAUGUCUUGUAAUUCUCUAGGAUAGGUAAUGUAUUUUUACAGUUGCAUGUUCAUAAAAUCGGAUUUCUGUCUGCAAUAGAGUGCUGGUUGAAGAAAGAUCUCACAGUUCAAUUGAAUUCCUAACAAUAUUUUGUUAAAACAUUAGUGAUUAAAAAGGAGACUUACAUGUGUAGUUGACCAGUGAGGGCUAAGUUAUUCCCACACGGAGGCAAUCUCAACAAAUAAAACCUGUCUUAUAGAUGAAUGAUUUAUUUUUAAAAUAGUAUAUUUUUUCUAUUGGUCCUUUUUGAUUUUUUACGUUUUGCUCACCAAGUCACCUUUCAACUUCUUUCAGGGGCUAAAAAAUAUCACCUCUCUAGUGGAGCUUGACCUAUCCGAUAACAACAUCUCUGCCCUUCCACCUGAGCUGGUAAGAGACAUACACUGCUCUCUCAUUUUACUUUUUUUUUUUUCCUUUCUAAAAUUAUUAUGUUCAUACAAAUUUAAACUCAAAGAAAUAAGUGGUUCUAUGCUAUACAUCUCAAUGAUGUUUGUUGUGUAAAACUGUUAAAAACGAGAAAAGAAAAGAAAAGAGAAAAAGCAGAUGGCAGUUAUUUUAUCCUACUCAAUGCUGCUAACUUUUUAUCUGCAUUAGUCGGGGCUUGUUUACUUUGCUCUGAUUCAACUCAUUUACUUUAAUCAGGGUCUGCUAGAACCAAGUCUUCAGGCAUUGAGACUUGAUGGGAACCCACUUAGAAGGUGACUUUCUCCUGCCCCGCUUUUCUACGAGCUUUCUCAAAAUGUAGAACUUUUCGUGACAAUAGUUUGGAUUCUCAAGUAUAAAAAAGGCUGUUGCAUAUAUUUGCACUUUAGAAAACUAGAAUUUACAAAAUCCUAAUGCAGAAAGAUGAACAUAAAUAUCAUCGUCAAUAAGUAAACUUUUAAAGAUUAUGCCCCUUUCUUAGAACUCAAGCAUGGUCAAUUUUGUAUUCCUUGAAGUGGAUGGAGCUCCAAUGUUCUCUAAUUAAGCAAAAACACAGCAUAUAGAUCAGCUAGAUCUUCUGGAAAGCUUGGUUAAUAAAAUCAUCACAAUGUUUCUUUAUUUGUUUCAGCAUUCGGAGGCCUAUCUUGGAUAAAGGUACUAAAGCUGUCCUGAAAUAUUUGAUGGAUAAAUUGCCAGAGCAGUAGUUUCCUUUUUAUAUAUUUAGUGAAAGUGUUACUCUCGGACAUGAACUAAAGCUGUAAUUUAAUUUGAUUUAUUAUAUUUAAAGCUUUUUGUAUUUUUUUGCUGCAUAAAUAUGCAUGACUUGAUUAUUGUGUAUAUGUAUGGGGUUGUAAUUAUAAUACAAAUAUAUCUUUAUAUAUUGAUUGAGUCCUCAUUUUUCAAACGUGGUAACUCUGCAUUUUAUGAGAGUCUCACGUUAGAUAGUGUGAUAUGAUGUGCAUGAUGAUUAUAAUUAGGGGUAAUUCUGGUUUUAUAAGUUUGAUUGAUGAUUUGAGUUAGACUUGGGAGCGUAACUGAGUUGAAUUAUUUGUAAAUUAUUUAGAUUUGACUUGUUAAAUAAUUGACUGUUUAAUUAAAAUAUAUUCAAACUUGAAGUUGAGAUUGAACUUGAUUCUAAGCCUUAUUAGAAGCGUCUCAUUGUGUCGGAACAUAAAGGCAGCUUCUUUCUUGGAUUGCCGGGACAUAUAGGGCUAGAUUUUAACCUGCAUAUAUUGAUCAUCACAAGUUUUGUUGGAAUUUUAUAUGGACUAUAUUCCAGCGUGGAAGGAAAAAUGGGUAGUAGACAGGUUAUGUCUACUGUUUAAUGUAUUUGAUGAUCGGAGAUGGAUGUACUUGUAAGUUUAUCAUUCCGAGUGUUGUUAGGGAAUCGAGUUUGCAUCUAGAUUGUUGAUUAUGACUCUUGAUAUUUCCUCGAUUUUUUACUUUAGGUCUUAAGGUUCUUGGUUGCCUAUAAAGUGUGGGAGUGCACUCUGUUACUCUUUUCGCUUCCCUUGCUUCAAAAUGCUAUAACUUCUCUUGCUUCUCUUAUGGUAUUCAUAUUUCUGCAAUCUUUAUGCAUUCUUCAAUCUUCAUUAUCGGUAGCAAAAUAUCUCAAAGGUCUCUGGUGAUUUUUCUAUUUCAUCCUCCUUAAAGGUAUUAUUCUGUAUGCCAGCUCUCUAGACAUGUCCGAUAGAGGAAACCCAUGGUUAGUGACGAUAAAUUUAGUGAUGCAUCAUCUCAAACUCAAGCGGAAGUGGUAGACCUAGUAAACUUAGAAGUUAUGUUAGGCAAAAUUAGAAACUCGACGACAAACAUUGUGGAUGUUAGAUGGCUUGUUGGAGUUAUGGGUCCAUAAAUAUAACUCACUGAAGUUAUGGAUCGCACCAGAGCUAAAAAAAACCCAAAUAUUGAUAUUGUUAAGAUGGGGAAAUAGCCCCAUUAAGAUUGACACCAGGGAAGUUGCCAGAGGGUUCGACUUCUUAUCCUUGGAGUUGGCGAACCCAAAAUACGUAGUUGGCUUCAUGAAUGAGCGGAAGGCCAAACCUAUAUUAAAGCCCACAUACUCUCUUUUAACUAUGACCCUAUUGACAACGAAGUUAGAUGGUGGAUGGAAUCAAAUUCUCGUGCCCUUGACAGAGGUGUGGAGGAGCCAGCGAGUCAUCGAGCUUUCUACUGAUGCUUACUACUUAUUUUGAAUAUAUUAAGAAACUCUAGGGACGACCUCCAUAUUCAUUAGCGACACAAAGGUUGGAGAUCGACUUUCGAGAUGUAGGUCAUUUUUUCGAUUGAUGGUGGUUGCUCUACCCUGAAAGUGACAAAGGAAUAUGUAGUCAAUAUGUCGUGUUUGUUCUGAUCGUACAUGAGUGUCUCUCUCCGGGAUGGGGUUCAUGUUCUCUUUCAAGGAUUUUGAGUUAGAGAUUAUAAUUCACCUAAGGAUCACUCAUUCACAAUUACACCAUAUGCAUUAAGAUUAUUUUAAAGUCUUCCAACACUAGUAUGAAUACCAAAAUAAUGUCUCUACUCUGAGGUUUUUCUCCCACCUUUCCAACAUUAAAAGAUCUUCAACUAAAUCAGAUUGUGGUCAAGGGUUGCUCUCGUUUAGGCAAGGCAAGAAAAUGUUUGAAGUGUAUAUAAAUAGCCUCAAGAAUUUUAAAGAGAGAUAGUUUUUAGUCAUUCUUCUCAGUCGUGUUUCCCUUAUGAGUAUUAACAACAUUCCAACAGGGCAUUUCUCAGCUCCAUCCUCUGCGCUCCGCCUUUCUCUAAGAUGUAACGAUUGAUUCCAGAAGUUCUAGCGACAUAAUAAUUUUUGGUGGGUUCAGGGAUAGAUUCUAACGAUAGAUUCCAUAAAUUCUAACUUGGUUAAUGAUAAUAAAUUUAGUGAUGCAUCAUAUCAAACUCAAGCGGAAGUGGUAGGCCUAAUAAACAUAGAAGCGUCGUUUGGCAAAGUUAGGAACUCAACGACAAAUGUUGUGGAGGUUAGAUGGCUUGUUGGAGUUAGGGGUCCAUAAAUAUAACUUACAGGAGUGAUGGAUCACGCAGAGGUUAAAAAAUGUCAAACAAAAAUAUUGUUGAGAUGGGGAUAAUAGCCCCGUUAAGAUUGACAUUAGGGAAGUUUCCUGAGGGUUAGACUUUUGAGUCUUGGACUUAUCGAACCAAAAAUAUGUAGUUGACUUCAGGAAUGAGCGGAAGGCCCAAACCUAAUUAAAGCCCAUAUGAUCUCUUUCAACUGUGAUCCUAUUGACAACGAAGUUAGAUGGUGGAUGGAAUCAAAUUCUCAUGCUUUUGACAGGGGUGCACAAAGCCAGUUAGUCAACAAGUUUCCUAUAGAUGCUUACCACUUAAUUUUGAUAUAUAAAGAAACUCUAGUGACGACCUCCAUGUUCAUUAGCCAACAAAGGUUGGAGAUUGACUUUUUGAAUAUAGGUUAAUCUUUUGAUUGAUGGGGGUUGAUCUAACCUGAAAGUGACAAAAGGAUAUGCAGUCAAUAUCUCGUGUUUGUUCUGACCUACACGAAUGUCUUUCUCCGGGAUGAGGUUCAUGUUCUCUUUCAAUUAUUUUGAGGUAGAGAUAAAUCAUCUAAGAAUCACUCAUUCACAACUACACCAUGUGAGUUGAGCUUAUUUUAAAGAUUUAUAUCACUUAUGUGAAUACCAGAAUAAUGUCCCUACUUUGACGUUUUUCUUCCAUCUUUUCAACAUACAAAGAUCUUCGUCUAAAUCGGAAUGUGGUUAAGGGUUGCUCUCAUUUACGCAAGGCGAGAAAAUGUUUGAAGUAUAUAUAGAUAGCCUCAAGAAUUUCAAAGAUAGAUAGUAUUUAGUCAUUCCUCUUAGCCGUGUUGUUCAUAAGAGUAUCAACGACAUUCCGAUGGGGCAUUUCUCAGCUAUGUCCUAUGUGCCCUGCCUUUCUCUAAAAUGUACUGAUAAAUUCCCGAAAUUCUAGCGACAUAAUAAUUUUUGGUCGGUUCGGGGUCGUAUAUAUAUAAAUUGGGUUAGUGACAAUAAAUUUAGUGAUACAUCAUCUCAAACUCAAGCGAAAGUGGUAGACCUAGUAAACUUAGAAGCGUCGUUUGGCAAAGUUAGGAACUCGGCGACAAGCAUUGUGGAGGUUAGAUGACUUGUUGGAGUUAGGGGUCCAUAAAUAUAACUUACUGAAGUGAUAGAUCACGUCGGGGUUAAAAAAACCCAAAUAUUGAUAUUGUUGAGAUUGGGAAAUAACCCGAUUAAGAUUGACAUUAGGGAAGUUACCUGGGGGUUCGACUUCCUAGCUUUGGACUUGGCGAACCCAAAAUACGUAGUUGACUUCAAGAUUGAGUGGAAGCCCAAACUUGUAUUAAAUCCCAUAGGCUUUCUUUCAACUAUGACCCUAUUGAAAACGAAGUUAGAUAGUCAAUAGAUUCAGAUCCGCAUGCAGUUGACAAGAGUGCAGAGGAGCCAGCGAGUCACUGAAAUUCCUACUAAUGCUUACCACUUAUUUUGGAUGUAUUAAGAAACUCUGGGGACAACCUCCAUAUUCAUCAGCGAACAAAGGUUGGAGAUCUACUUUCAGUAUGUAGGUCAUUUUUUGAUUGAUGAGGGUUUCUCUACCCUAAAAAUGACAAAAGGAUAUGAAGUCAAUACGCCGUGUUUGUUCUGACCCUACACGAGUGUCUUUCUCUGGGUUGAGGUUCAUUUUCUCUUUCAAUUAUUUUGAGGUAGAGAUUGUAAAUCACCUAAAAAUGGCUCAUUCACAAUUACACCAUGUGACUUAAUCUUAUUUAAAGUCUUCCAACACUGGUGUGAAUACCAGAAUAAUGUCCCUACUCUUAUGUUUUUCUUCCAUCUUUUCAACAUACAAAGAUCUUCAGCUAAAUCGGAUUGUGAUCAAUGGUUGCUCUCGUUUAGGAAUGGCGAUAAAAUGUUUGAAGUAUAUAUAGAUAGCCUCGAGAAUUUCAAAGUUCUAUAGUAUUUAAUCACCCCUCUCAAUCGUGUUGCUCAUAAGAGUAUCGUUGAAAUUCCGACGGGGCAUUCCUCAGCACCAUCCUCUGAUGUAAAGAUAGAUUCCUGAAAUUCUACUGACAUAAUAGUUUUUGGUGGUUCAGGGUUGUGUCAAUGGAUAUGUAUUUGUGAUGACACUGUGUAAUUACAUAAUUUUUAUAAGUAUAUGUUAUCACUUUGAAGUGUUUUUUAGUUAAUCAUGAAGAAAUUGUAAAAUAUAUAUAAAUUAUUUGAUCAAAGUGAAGAAUGGAGAAACAUAUAUGAAAAAGUACAAAUUCAGGAAGCAAAAUGCAAGAAACAUACUGGAAACAUUGUGUGCACUAUGCAUGGCAUCGUGUAUAUGAUGAGAGGAAAAAGGGUAUCAUAUGCAUGAUGAUGAGUUGAGUGGGCAUCAUGUGCAUGAUGAGAUGCAUUGUAUGCACGAUAGGUUGUUUUCUAGACACUUUUUUUUUGCUUGUUUAAAAGGAAAAGAUAAACACUUUUGAGAGGGUUCUGAAUUUUAGAAUAGAAUUCGACGACAAAGAGUUCUACAACAAGGAUUUCCAUAACGUUUUUCAUUUUUCUCUGAUGUAUUUCCGGACGUGUCCUUUUGUUCUAAUGUAUUUCAAAACCCUAUCUUAUGCGUUUCCUUGUUGUUCUGAUGUAUUUCCGAAAUUUAUUGUCUUUUGUUUAUCUGAUGCAUUUCCGGAUGUUCCCUUCUUGUUCUGAUGUAUUUUCGGAACCUUUUCCUUUCAUCCGAUGAAUUUAUGCACGUGUCUUUUGUUUAGAUGUAUUUCCAGAAUGCUCUCCUUCUAUCAUUAGGAUUUCCAUAUAUGCCCUUAUAAUCUUAUGUAUUUCCAGUAUGUGUGCUCCGAUGUAUUUCUGGAUGAGUAUUGUGUUCAGAUGUAUUUCCAAAACUUAUUUCCUCUUAUCCGAUGUAUUUCCAGAUAUUUCUUCUUCUUUCUGAAGUAUUUUCGGAUGAGUAUUAUAUUUUGAUGUUUUUCCAGAACUUAUUUCUUUUUAUCCGAUGUAUUUUCGGAUAUUUCUUUUUCUCUACGAUGUAUUUUAGGAUGAGUAUUAUGUUUUGAUGUAUUUCCAGAACUUAUUUCCUUUAAUCCAAUGUAUUUUCAUAUUUUUUUUCUCUCCGAUGUAUUCUCGGAUGACUAUUGUGUUCUGAUGUAUUUCCAAAAUUUAUUUCUUUUCUCUCCGAUAUAUUUCCGGAUGAGUAUUGUGUUCUAAUGUAUUUUCAGAACAUAUUUCCUUUUAUUUGAUGAAUUUACGGAUGUGUCAUUUGGUUCUGAUGUAUUUCCAGAAUAUUGCUUUUGCUAUCCGAUGUAUUUCCGGAUGUUUCCUUGUUGUUUUGAUGUAUUUCCAGAACUUAUUCACUUUGUAUCUGAGAUAUUUCCAAAUGUUUUUUAUCAUUCUGAUGUAUUUCCAGAACUUGUCUACUUUUUCCAACGUAUUUUCCAAACUUGUUUUCGUUUUGAUAAGUUUUCAAAACUUAUAUUUGAUUUUUACUAGUGAAUCUUUUCACCUUACCUCAUUUAAUCCCCAACAGACCUCAUUUACAAGUCAUCUCAGUAAUCCUCAAAGAGUCUACUUCGCAUUUUCAUAUUCUCGACAAGAAAAAAUCUUCCAUAAACUCAUAACGUAACAUCUCAUAUUAUUUCAUUUUAUUCCUUCAAGGGACAAAAUUUGGAUCAUCUAAUAUUUAAAUAUCUCCCACCGGAUUAUAUGAAGAUUAACAUUCUUCAUAUUCUAUGGUCAAAGAUAUUUAAAUAAGAGCAAUUAUCAUACCCUAAUUUUUACCAUGUACUAUUCAUUCAUUCAUUAUGACAUAUGCAUUAUUUAUUCAAUCAUUCAUUGCUUUUUUGGCUUAAGUCAAAAGUCAAUCAAAAGGGUCAACUUUUGGAUUGUUUAAAACUUGAACCAUCUUGCAUCAUUACCAUAACCGUACAUUCAUACCAUUGUCCCGUUCAUAAUUUUAAUUUCACUCUACCGCAUGCAUGUUGCAUCUUUUAAAAUCAAAAUUAGUUUUUUUUUUUUUUAUUUUUUUUUUUUUUCAUAUAAUCACCUUUCCAUUUGAAAAAGUACAAAAAUAAGAGGACACACAAUUGACUCUUUUGAAUUAAGUUACAUUUAAUUGAACUCAUCUUUUUGUUUUUGUUGUUCCAUCAUUCAAGACCAAAUCCAAAACUAAAAAUGCCUAAACAAAGUUAAGUUGAAUUUCAAUUUACACUUUGCAUUAUUUUGACCAAGGCUCUUGCAUACUCACGUCUUACCAUCUUAAUCCCUUGCAUGUCCAAAUUAAGUUAACAAAAAAAAGAAGAGAAUUAAUUGGAACUUGAAUUAAAAUUUGAAUAUACACUUUUAUGGUAUGAAUGGAAUCACACGUUCUUAUCAUCAUUGUAUUUUUAAUUACAAACUCAAUUAAAGACAAAGAAAUAUUAAGUCAUUUAUGUCAAUACUCGGUUCACAUUGCAGUAAGACAUUUUUCAUACAAGAUUAAUGAAUUAAAGCAAAAUAAUUUGAACAAUAAUAAUUUGAUUUCAUUAUAAUUUUUGAAUUACAAACCGUUACUACUUGAAUGUUACAGCGGUUAAUACAAAAUUACAGUGAAAAUUACAUCCAAAAAUUUGCACAUUGGAUCACCAAAAAAGCUUUACAUUAUUCAUUCUUUUCAACUCACUUAAAAUCCCAUGAAAUCAGGGAGUGAUUCUUCUAACUCUAACAUAAUUCCUUUCAGAUGAGUUUGCAAAUCACAAUCCUCACAAAAUAUCCAAAAACUCACGAUUUUCACAGUCUCACACACAUAUUUCACUCACCUCAACCCUAAAUCCUACGAUAUAUAUAGCUACCUUAACUUUACACCCAACAACUACCGAACUUCUUGAGCAAAACUCCAAAUCUGCAGCUAUACGAGAUUAUACCAUACCAUAUUAGAGCUCUAAUGUUGAUCAGAUAUAGCUUCACCUUGAAGCUCUAUCUGUUUUAUGUUGAACUUUUCAUCUUCAUCUCAUCAUCUCAACACAACAGUACAAAGUAUAAAAAUAGAAGAAAGAGAGACGAAUGGAGCAGAGAAGAAGACAAAAAGUGUAGAGAAAGGAAAAUUACAUGAAGAAAUACUUCGAUAGAGUGCUCGCCAAAAAAACGUUCUUUCAGAUUCAUCAGUUGUAGGUACUUUUUUUCCUUGUUAAUGUUGUAGCGUAUUCCUUUAUCCCUUCCCCUUGAUUUUCUUUGCCAAUUGGAUGUAAUUUGUAAAAAAUGAUUGAAAAAGGGAUUUAGGGUUUCUGUGGAGUAAGGGUAUCAUUUUGGUUGAUUCGCUAUUUGGAUGUUGUUUUUGAUGUAAUUUUCAUAUUUAGAGUUGAUGUUUACCUAGGGUUCAAGUUAGAAUUUUUGGAAUCUGGGUUUUUUUGGAAAAGAUGAAGAACAUUCAUCAUGUUCUUCAUCUCUGCUGUUUUAUCCACCGUGUUUAACCCACUUCCGGUGAGUUUUUUCCCCAUGGUUUUGUUAUUUUUAGGCGGAGAUAGAUAGAUAGAUAGAUAGAUAGAUAGAUAGAUAGAUAGAGAGAGAGAGAGUAGUGGGGGGAAACCAAGGAAGAGAGAGAAAAUCUUGAGAGAAAUGAUGUAGGCCACGUGGCCCCAUCCUUGGCCUUUUGUUUAGUUGACUGAUCCAUUAACCUGGGCCCCAUGUAUAGGAAGCCCCACCAUAACCAGGAAUGUGCUUGCUUUUAUCAACCGUUGAUCAUGUUUGACUUUCAUAGUCACACAAUCCAACGUCCCUCAUGAGUCAAUAAUAUUGACUCUGUUGCGGGCCUCUUUUAGCAUGUUAGGCCUUGCCUUUUACUUUUGGUAGCCCUAUUUUUUCUCCUACACCCCCGACAGUGAAAAGGAAGACCUUGGUCCUCUACUUGCAGACCUAGGUGCCCAUGUUGGGGCGCCACCCCCCACUUUAUUUCUAUUUGCACUCUUUUUCCUUCUAGUUUUUUCUUUCUUUUUUUUUUGUUGUUUUUUUGUGGGCCUUAAGCCCAAUGAUUUUUUACCAUCAUAUAUCCCCAUGUAACAUUGCACCCCCAUCCACUUACUAUUUUAUUUAUUUAUUAUUAUUAAUUAAUAAAUUAGAAGACUAAUUAAAAUCAACUUUUCUCAAUAAAAAGUGUUUGAUCAACAUCAAGCGAUUUUCAAAAUAUUCCACCAAUAUUUCAUUCAAUUUCAAAGCUUUUGCACCACCAAAUCAAACCAUUUUCAAAAUGUGAAUCAAUACUUGAUCGACAUCAAGUUCUUUCACGCCGAUUCAAAGCACUUUAAAAUCAUUUUCUUAAAUAAAUCGGACGAAAAAGGACUAAUUAGGUGUAUGCCUCUUUUCCCCUGAGUAUUUGGAUACUGGAUGUAGAGCUCGUUGUUUGAAUAUUUGUCUUCCAUACUACAAUACAAUAAGUAACCAUUUUUUUUUCGUUCUUUCAUAGAUGAAAAAAGAUUAGUUGGGCGGACUGUCAUGGUAUUUUUCACGUUGUGAGAUCUAUGCUAGGGCUUGGCUCUCUCUUGCUCUCCUUUUUCUCAAACUUUUCAUGUACUGAGUUUUCUAUUCCUCUCUUCUAUUAUAAAAUAAUUCUUAUUUUAUUUUAUUCCAAAUAAUUCUCUUAAUCCCCUCAUUUUCUCUAUUAUCACAUUCGCCUCCCUACUUUUCUCAAAACUCUAACUUACAACCACAAACUCAACUCCACUUAUAUUUCUAUUAUUCUAAUUAAUUAAAAAUUAAAUAAAUAGCCAUUCUACCCCCUCAUAAAAUAAUCAAAUAAUUAAUAAACAUACCAAACUCAAUUAAAAUAAAAUAAUUAAAAAUAAUUGGAGCGUUACACGAGUCAUGAGGAGUAGAAUAUCAACCAUGUCGAUGGUGAUGGUGAUGCCCUAACAAUUCAACCUUUUUUUUACUAGGAUAUAGCAUCGUCGGGAGCAACCCUAGAAAUUUCCUUGUCUAACUACUUAAUAGGUCGCGAUCUGGCGAAGUGCAACAACUAGAGAAGUAACUAGAAAUGGAGCACAUGUUUCAAGUGGAUGAAGGGGCUUUUCCGAUGCAAGGGUGAGGAUCCAUGUUACGAUGUCUUUGAGCACCAAGAAGGGCAGUGAUAUGUCAGGUGUAUGCGUAGUGUUACGAUGAACCAUGAAUCAAGUAGAUUUGGAUGCCGCCAUUGUUGACAUUUGUAAAUGUUUACAGAGACAAUAUCGGCUAACAGAAACGGUUACGACGAUGCAACAAAUGAAGUUAGAGAAAUUAGGUGUAGAGUUUUGUGAGAAUCAAGAGACGUUUCUCAAAGACAACACCAUUAUUCUAGUGUAGAAUAGAAAAUAAGUAGUUGACUGGUGAUAUCCGUUGUGAAAGGUGUCAGACACAUUGAUAGAUGUCUUUGGUGGUUGAAGAAAAUGUGUACCUUCAAGGUUAACACUCCAAGGCCUAAGUCAUUAAAUUUGGAGGUGGGACUUACAAGUGUGUAAUGAUUAUACCUUGGUGUGAGGUGAAGUCACACUUAUAUAAGAACAACAGUUAGAACCGUCCUCGAUGGACGCGACAUUAAGUGUAGGGAACUAUUGUUUGGACCCCAAUGGUUGAGAUGAAGCAGUUUUUUGCUUCAGUGCGGGAAUCCCCAAUGUGAGCACAUCUAUUCACCAAGUUGAAUAAUGCAGUAUGUGGAUUGGACUUCCGAGUUAGGCUGGUUUUAUUUGGCCAUUUGUCCAGCUCAUAACUUACUACAACCUCUUACAAUCUUAUUGGUAUUAAAGGAGGCAUAAUCAAAGAGUUUAUGACCUAAAUAAAGUGAGUAUCAUUAAGCCUUAGUGUCAUAUCCUGAAAAUGUUAAGGUUGUAUAUAAGCUCUCACUCGUAGGAUUCCCGGUCUGGGAGGUAACUUAGUGUAUCAGGAUGCCUAUAAGCCUCUUGAGAUUGUUUGGGUGUGUUUUAACAUGAAUGCACAAUCAAUGAGAGAUGAAUGUUUGUCGAGAUGCAAAGGUCUAUUGAGAGGAGAUAAUAGACAAUGGAUUUAAGGUUUCUCCAAACCUCUAAGAAACACCAUUUUUGUAUGAUUGGAUUAUGGGACUUAUGCAAAGGCUUGUGCAUGGUGAAAAGGUGUGGAGUUAGACCUUUAGAGGUGUGAAUGACAAAAGUUGUUGUUUAAAGCAUUUCAUCUUCAUCAGGAAGGUAAUGCAUUGUUCUAAAGAAUAUAGGUUGUGUUCAUAGUUUGGAAAAUUUAACCACUCUCCAUGUCACGUCUGCGACAAACUGGUAUUGACAUGUGUCGAUAUUGAUAUCGUUAUUCACCGUUUUAUAUUAAAAAGUAAAUUAUAAUUAACUCACACUGCGAUGACCACAAUCAAUAUCGUAACUUUUAUACUGACUAAAAUCGCAAAAAAAAAUUAUGUAACUGUAACGCGAUGACAAUAAUUUUUUGAAACACAUCAAUUCAAAGGAGAAUCUUUAUGAUUGGUGCUCCCUUCUCUCAUACAUGCAUAGAACAUCCAACAACUUUGUCGUUACAUAUCUAUGUUAAUAAAUAAAACUCUCACAUUAGAUAAUAUAUAUUUAAAUAUAUGCAUAAGUGAAAUAAUAUUAUAGUGUAAGAUGUUACAAUUCUGAACUCCAAAUGUUAACAAUAUAUACAUUAUAUAUUAUUUAAUAAUAAUGACAAUGACUUCUUUGGUGAGACUUUAUUUAAGUUUUUAUAAAAUAUAAUUAGAUGUUAAUUUGUAUUUAUAAUUUUUUUCUUAUGGAUAUGCAUGUUUUAAAAGAAAUACAAAAGAGAGUAAGAUAAGAGAAUGCCAAACUCUCUUGAUCGGUAAGCAGAGAAGAUGAGAAGAGAGAACAUAUUUUGAUUGUUUGUAUCAUCUGUGUCCUUGUGUUUCAGCGUUUUUGACCUUUAUGUUGUAAAAAAAACUCAAUUUUCUAAAAAAUCAACUCUAAAUCAAAAUUUUACAAUGUCAUUUCAUCAGAAAAAAUCAAACAAUCAAAAUUCCGUAUUAAGUCUAAAUAUGGGAUGUCACCCUAAAAACCCUAAAUUCUUUAUUUUUCUAUUUUAUUUGAUUUAUUUUCUGUUUUUAUAUUUACAAAAAAAUCAGAAAAAAUUUAUAGUCUCUUGAUUUUAUUUUAUUUUAUUUUUAGUUGUAUAUUCAGAUUUUAAUAAAUUUAUUUUUAUUAUUUUUUUCUUCAGAGAUGUUGAUAUUUACAUAUUUGUUGCGUUGUUGAUGCAUGACUAUUAGGUAUGUCUAUCCGGAUACAUUUCAUAUUAAAUUAACUUUUAUUUUGUGUACCGGAAAAAGAGUUUCGGUAGUCGAUUUGUUAACAUUUUUAAUUUUUAUUUUGCGUAUAGAAAGAUUUUGUAAAAUGGUUCUGGUAGUCCGUUUUUAAAUAUUUUUUAAUUUUUAUUUUAUGUACCGGAAGAUUUUGGAAAAGAGUUAUGAUAGUUAGUUUUUUAAAUACUUUUUUAACUUUUAUUUUAUAUAUCGGAAGAUUUUACAAAAAAUUUCGAUAGUCAAUUUUUUUAAUAUUUUUAAUUUUUAUGUAUCAGAAUACUUUGCAAAAAAAAUUCGAUAGUCAAUUUUUAAAUAUUUUUUAACUUUUAAUAAAUUAUUUAUACGAGGGUAUUUUGAUAAAAAAAUAUAACAUAGGAGUAGGAAAAUAAAUGAUGGUAUGAAGUUAAAUUUUCAAAAAAAAAAAAAUACAACAAGGAACUUGCAUCUCUAAAAACACCAUUUUUGAUAAAAAAAAACAAUAAUGUAGUUGAAGAUGCAUUGUCGAAAUUAAGUAUAAUAAAGAUGACUCAUUUGUGUGCGUUUAAUUUUAUGAAAAAAAUGAUGCGUUCAGGUAUUUUAUUUCAAAACCGUGGACUUUUUUUAUUUUCACUUGUGAGAAAUUAUAAUGAUGAAAGAGAAAUAGUCUAAUAUCAAUAUAAAUUUUUCCUAGAUUUAAUUGCAAUUUUAAUUUUCAUAUUUUCUUUUAUAGUUUUGAUUUUCCAUUUUAAAAAUUAUAAUUUUUGUCUUUUUCUUAAUUUCUUUUAUAAAAAUGACCGAAAUCCAACCCAAUUUUUUUUCUUUUUUUAUAUUUUUAAAAUAGGAAAUCAAAAUUCUUAAAAAAAUAAAAUAAAAUAGGAACUAAAAUUACAAUUAAGCCAUCUUUUUAUUGAAAAUAACUUAAAAGUUAGUAAUAAUUGCUUCACCUAGAAUUGAUUUCAAGCUUCAGAAUCACUUUCUCAAAACCCUGAACGUGCGUUUGCCACUGCGCCACCACUCACACAUUCUCUUCUCUCAACCUUAACCGGCGUCUCAUCUCUCAACCCCGGCGGUCGCAUUCUUUCUCCGGCUAGCGUCUAUCUCUCUCUUUGCUCCAUCACAAAAUCUCAUUCACAUUCACGGUAUGUCUCAUUCAUUCCGCGAGAUUAGGUUUUGCAUUAUCCCUCAAUUUUCACUUCAAAUUUUCAAUACAUACCUAGGAUUAUGGAGGAAAAUGCAACACCACACGAUCAUGAAGAUCAAGAUGAAUUUGUUUUGCUUGACUUGGAUAGUGUUUAUGGCCUAAUUGAUAUUCCACCAAAUGCUAACUAUGUUCUUAGGGUAAAUUUCCCAACCACCUCCUCAUAAAAUUCUUUAUAAUUUUUGUCUAAUUAUCAUCUUAUUAUUACAUUAUUGUUAAUUAUAGGGUCUUGAUACUUUAAACCCAGUAUUGAUCAUUGAAGACAAAUUUAAGCUGGUAAGUUUCUUAUUUAAAAAUUCCUGGUCUUUUACAAUUUCAUGAAUUGCUAAAUGAUCUCAUCUGAAUCUGUUGGAAGUGAUUUAAGUGUUGUUAUGGUUCCGACAGAUUGGUGAAUACGAGGAGACAAUUGGAACAUGUAUCGCAUUUGAAGAAAAAGGUGAGUUACAUUUCAUGGAUGCAGAAUACUUGUGAAGAAAAAUAUUACGUCUUGGGAAUUAUGUUAUAGAUACUCUGAUUCAUAGGCUACACUUGAAUAAGUCACACAUAAGCACUGUCAGAUUAAUAUAAGCACCUUAAACUAAGUAUACAAUUCAUUUUGUGGUUAUCAGUGUCAUCAAAGAGAACACAGGAGACUGAAAAAUUGUCAUGAUGCUUUUAAUGCAAUUUUAACUUGGAGUUAUAAAAUUUUAUUUAAAGAUGAACCUUUUCACUCUAACAUAACUGACCCUAUGGUACUUGAUUUUUCUUUAUAAUCUUAUAAGGACUAAGUUAUGAUUUAGUACACUUGUAAUCAUAGUUUAUGUAGAUCAUCAUCCACCUUUGUUGUUGUUAAAGUUUCAAGCAGACUAAAAUAUGAACACUUGUAUUUGUUGCAGUCUAAUAAGAACAUCCUCUGUUUCUAAUUUUUUUUAGCUGCCAAUCAAAUUGUGAAUUAGUCGUGGCUGGAAUCAUAGCCCACCGUUAAUCAUUUUCAAUAAUGAUGUGUGUUACAGGUUAAUUAGUUAGUAGCUAGUUACUCACUUGGUAUCUAUGUAAUUGAUGCAACUCCUUCAUGUAAACAUGAUUUCUCAUUUUUAAUACAAUUUUUUUUAUGAUUUGUGUAUCUUUUUUCUCUCUUUCAUGACCUCUGUCAAGUUUUGUAACAUGGUAUCAGAGUCAUAAUAUUGUAACAAUAUGGAAGACAUGUUCGGAAGCAUUGUAUCAAAUUAUUUUUAAUAUCAUUUGCUUCCUACUUAUUAGGAUUAUUUAAAAUAUGUUGUUUGAUCAAUCAGCUUCAUUGUGCAGAUACACCAGUGGUUCAUCAAGAGACAGGACCAUCUGAAGCAAACUUAUUUUCUGGAAGAACACUAAUAGGUUCAAGUCAACCUCCAACAAAGCAAGUCAAACCUGUAUGUCAGCUUCAUAAGGUUCUCAAGUUUAAAUUAUCACCCGAUUCUGAAAUUCAAAGUCGCACUAUGGAGGAAGACAAUUGAACUUGAAAGCUGAUAUAAUACAGUUUUUCCUUAUUUUGUUGAUAAAUUUUUUGGUGGUGGGUGGUGACAUUUAUGUUCUAGGUAUAUAAAUAGUUUUUUUUUCUUUUUCCAAUAGGAGCUAUUUUGACUAUUUAAUGUUGAUAUUUACUAGGAUAGGAUAAUAGGUAGGAUACUUAAAUUAACCGGUUUGAUAGUUUAUCCGUUACCAUAUCCGGAUCCGCUUUCUAAAAGUCGGUUAAUUUUAUUUUGAUUUUUCAACCAAUCCAUUUUUAAAAUUAAUUGGACACCCAUACCGAAUUUUGGGUGGAUAACCACAACCAAAUGAAAAUCCAUGUGCGAAGCCCAAACCCUAACCUAACGACUCUCUGAUCUCUCUCUCAAUCUCAAUCGAAUGCUAAACCCAAACUAAACAAUUGUUUGUUCUUGUGUCUCAAUCUCAAUGGAUUGUAAAACCCUGACCUAAGCGAUUCUAUGUUCUUCUCUCUCAAUCUCCAGCGGUUGCAAAACCCUAUCCUACACUAUUCUCUGUUCCAUCAAAAAUCUCAAUCGGUUUAACUAGUAAACAAGGGAACCUUUGGAGAAGGAACCUCUUCCUUUUCAACUCAGGUAAAUGCAUUCAUGUUCCUUGUAUUUCAAUUGUUCCAUAUUUCAAAUUUUAUGUUUGAUCUGUGUUCCAUUUUUGAUUUUGUUCCUUGUAUUUCAUUUUUAAUUUGUGUUCCUUGUAUUUCAGUUGUUCCUUUUUCUGAUUUUAUGUUUGAUCGUGUUCCAUUUCUUUUAUUGUUUCCUUUCACAACAAUGCAAUCUGUUGUUGCUAAGAACAUGAUGAAGAGUCUCUUUGUGCCUACAAUAUGUGUUGAAUAUCCAUUUAUUCACUUAUGCUCUUUAAUACUUUUGUGAUGGAUGGUUGAGAUGGAAUAGUAUUCUAUCUAGGUUUAGAAAUUUGAUGUUUCAAUUUUAUUAUUAAUGUUAAGGGUGUUAGUGACUGCUAUAUUGGCCAGGUUGUUGCUAUAGAACCAAUUCGGCAUCCAAUUGUUUAUGUCACCUGCAGAGAUGGCAGAACUUUCCUUAUAACAGUAACAACAUUAAUGGGUCAUAGUUGGUGGUUUUUCUAGGCACAAAAUUUUCUGGGGUCAAACAAAGUUUCUUCCUAUUUUCAAAUUAAUUUUUAUCACAGAAAAAUAACACCAUUACUAUGAUAAUACUUGUAUUAUUGUAUUGGAAUUGGUUUUGGAUAAUGAUUGUGAAUAUUUGGAAUGGGAAAGAAAAGGAGGGUGGUUUAGGGGAUUGGAAGCUUUUGAUUAGGAGGAAGCUUUUGGUUUUGGAUAAUUAUUGUGAAUAUCGGAAUUGGUUUUUCUCUGAUGGCUGCUUAUCUGCUAAUAUCACUUUAAAAUUUGAAUGGAUUUAAGUUGUGUUGGUUCUCGUUUAUGCUUGCCGAUUGAAUUCAUUAUUCAAAUGACAGUUUUAGAAUGUAUAAUGCUUGAGUGGAGUCAAAUUUAGUAAGAUACUUGAGGUUCAUGGCAGCAGUUCCAACUUUUACUAGAUUGAUUUUAUCUCUUUCAGUUGGUUAGUACAUAGAAUAUCUAUUUAGCUUUUAAUUUAUAUUUGUUUUUUAUGAACUUGAAUUUCAGGUUUAGAGUGUAAAUCUAGUAUUUUUAAUUUAAAUUAAACACGCAAAGCCUUAUGUUUCCACUUAAUUUCUAUGGCUUGAUGUUAAAAUCCAUCACAAUCAUUUGUCUGGAUCUGCUUACACUCAAAGUAUGUCUUACACUUUGUAGGGUUUUCAUUAAUUCAAGUUGUUUUGCUUAUUAAAAAACCUAUAUUUUAUGGGGUCUUGUAUAGUAAAUUAGUGGGUUUAGAAUACUCAGAGUUGCAAUUUGUCAUAUGUUUGUAUGUUGUUUUUAGCUUAUUUUUGUAUGAUCGGUAGGAUAUAUAAAUGAUCAAGUGAUACACAUGAAAAAGAUUAAUAAUCAAUGCUUUAAAAGUUUGAAUUUAAGUUUUGUCUUUAUGUUGAUUUUGAUUUGAUAUGGUCUUUCUGUAAGUGAAUGGAGUGAGAAUAUGUAAGAAAGUUUUGCUUAGGUGUUUUUUAAUAUGAAAGAAAAUUAUGUUAGUGUUUCUUCGAAUUAAUCUGACAUUUGGUUGGUCUAUCUAAAGUAGGAAAUAUUUGAUUAGAAUCUUUAUGGAAAUUACUUUUACUCGGGCACCACCCCAUCGAUGAAACAAAUCUUGGACUCCACUCAUAUUGUAGAUUUGAUUGGGAUAACUAGAUGCAACUGCUGUGGUUUCAAGCUAAAGUCCAAUAAUGGAAUGAUUUCCAUGGCUGCACAUUCAAAGAUUCAAAGAAUUGCAAGAAGUAACUCAAAUAGUGAAGCAAAUAAGAGAUUGAAAAUAAUCCCUUCAUCAACAACAAAUGUGACUUUCCCUUCCGCAAUUGUGUCAGGCGAAUUUGACAAAAGAGAAAUGUAGGUGGGCAUGCGAAUUUGACAAAGAGAAAAGUAGGCGGGCAGUGGUUGACAUGAUUGUGAAAAUGGAGCUUCAGUAUGCGCAUAUUGUCAAAGCGUGUGCCUGACCACAUAUUGUCAAAACAUGAGUUAUAUGCGCAUAACAACACAUUUUGUAAAAAAAUAACUAGACAUUGCACAAAAAGGUUUUGAGUUUUGUUCAAGUUUUAAGCUAUUUAGUAAAGGUAAUAACAAAUGCAGUUGUAAAAUGCUUGGAGAACUAGACAUUGCACAAAAAGAUUUUGAGUUUUGUUCAAGUUUUAAGCCAUUCAGUAAAGGUAAUAACAAAAACAGUUGUAAAAUGCUCGGACAAUUGGGGGUUAAACAAUGUUUUGAGUGUGACAGUUGACAAUGCAGUGUUAAAUGAUCGUGGGUUUGACAAUCUCAAAAGGUGGCUAUGGUUGAGGAAUAAUUUGGUUUUGAAUGAAGAUCAUUUUCUUACAAGAUGUUGUGCAUAUGUCAUGAGUUUAGUGGUUAAAAUGGGUGUAAAAAAAUUGAAAUUUAUGUUUCUAGAAUCAGGGGUGUUGUCAAUUAUGUUAAGUCUUCUCUAGGUCGAGACCAUAAAUUUUUGGCACGUGUUAGAAGUAGAUAGAUUAAAUAUUGGGACAAUGUUAAAUUCGACUGUGAUACUCGAUGAAAUUCAACCUACGACAUGUUGAAGGUUGCUCCACAACUUGAAAUGACACUUGUUGGACUUAUGGUUAAUGAUACUAAGUAUUGUCAAGAAAGGCUGCUCAAUUUUUUGGGAGUUUUGAAGGCUUUCACUUUGCACAUAUCAGGUGCAACAUCCGUGACAAGUAAUAUGUACUUAGGAGAGGUAUUUUAAAUUGGUUUGGCUAUAAAAGACAUGUGGGAGAAAUAUGACUUUAAAUAUAAAGGAGAAAUAUGCCAAGUACUAGGACAAUCCUGAGAAAUUAAACAUGUUAAUUUUUUGUUUUAGAUCCUAAGAAGAAAAUGAUGUAUCCUCGUUGGUUUAUUGAAAAUAACUUUGCCAAACAAAAGGAUGAUUUCUUGAAGGAUCAAAUAUUUUUUCAAAUUCGAUUACAAUUUAUCAUAAAAGAAAAGGUUGAUUUCUUGAAGGAUAAAUUAGAAUCAAAUUUGAAAAUUAUUUUGUGCCAGCCAAAGGCCCAAUGACACACUAUCCCGCACCGUCAAAGGUCAACAACAUGAGACCCACUUAUCUAACCUGCUUCAUUAAGUCCAAGAUAUAAAUACAUCUACAAAGGGUUUGCAUGUACACGAUAUCUAAUAUCCACUCUCCAGUACAAUUAUCUAAAAUCCUAAACUGACUUGGGAGUUGAAGUGCUAACCAUGUCGGUACUCCCAUCUGAAUCGUCAUAUAAGAGAUUAAUAACACUGAUUCAAGAUCAACACUGAUUAAUGACGUUGAUUUGAGAUCAACGUCUCUGGUUCAAGUAACAUCGUGAUCGCGACCUCACUGGUGAAGCUUCGCUCUGCCAUAUCUUCCACAAUCUCCUCCAUUUCUGGUUCCUUAAUGAAAUAGUGGUACCGUUUGUGGGGACCAACUUUCAAUUCCUGCGAUUUUUACGAGAUCAAGUUUGAUUCUCAGUUCUGAAUUCAAAAUCAUAUCCGAUAAAAGAAUUGAGGUUCCUCAAAAUCAAGCACUGAUCUAAUUUCGUCAAACACUGAUCUAAUUUUGACUGAUCGUUCAUCUCAACCUUGCUCCGUAAAGAUAUGAUGCCAGCAAACAUCCUUAGGUCGGGAUCCAAUUUUACGAUGUUAUGGUCGACCAGAAGUCUCGAUCCCAAACCCUCGAUGAAGCUGGUCACUAAAUCUCCUCAUAUCUAGAUUUAGAUUCAUAAAGGCAAGGCCGUCCAACCAAGUAGUAUACCGAGACCACAUACGUUCAAAUGGUCCCAUAUUUGGCUCGCUUCAUAUGUCUCGUCAUCAUAAAGUCACACGUCAGAUGUCUCAUCAUCGAAACGACAAGAACCCGGUCCUAGACAAUUACCAAAGGCCCGAGACCAUGGAAUGAUCAAGGAGUUGCAAGAUGAUGGGGAGCCUCGAAUGUGGGGUAACUUAGGAGAUCAGAAUAUCCGUCUGAUGGAGUAAGUAAGGGCCAUACGACUCUACAUCGGCGAGAGAAAUCCCUAACACCCCGACCUCAUUCCAAAGGGAAGGCUAUAUGGACGGCAGAUGGCGUGAAAUAUUGGGUAUAACUACUCGGGGGAUCCUGUAUGAGACAAAUUUGAGAUGACAUUAAAGAUCUUCCGACCACCAUAAAUUCCAAUCAUAAUCAACCUGAUCCCCAAACAAAUAUCUGAGCAUCUGAUACAUCCCAUAGAAGAUCCAAGUCCAAAGGAGAUGGUCCAAAUAAUCCGGAAAGCAAGGUCAAACUCAUCAGUUAGACAUUUGUCAUCCACAAAGCCGAAGACACAAUCCUCCUAGUCAGCUGACCAUCAAGCUGCCUGGCCAACACAUCCGAGGGCGAGCCCUUAGUAUACACUUGUGGCUGACCGCAAGUUUUAAUUAAUGUAUUUUUGUGAAUUAUUGAUAUAAUAGUGAAAUGAAAUACAUACAUCUAUUUUCUAUUAUAUUCUUGUUGCUUUACUUUCUGCUUUGUUCCUUCUUCAGGAUGCCAAAAUGAAAAUGCACGUGAGAGUGAAUCGGGGUGUAACCAAUAUAGUUGAUGUAACACCCUAAACCCCUAAACUUAUAAAUGAAAAAUUAGUCGAUAAUUUAAGGUGUCACCAACGAUAAACAUUCAACAAGUCUUCUACAAUUAGAAAAUACGCACCAAAAAAGUAAACAACAUACAACAUCUGUCAUCACAUGCUCACCUUCACUUAUGGUAUUAUCGCAGUGGAAUCAUAUUUAACACAACAAUAAAACAUAACAACUUCCACUUUGGUCUUAUAAAGACUUAACUUUAACAAAGUUAUUCAAUUGGAGUUAUAACAUCCACUCAUAGCAGCUUUUAAAACAACUCAUUAUAAAAAGUAUUAAACUUCAACAAAACAAAGUAAGUCAAUUUCAAACAUACUAAAAAUGCUUCAUCCCCGAUGUUACAGAAUCAAAGCACUAAACCAUUGAGGAAGCGAUAAACAAGUGAAAAUAAAUUCAAGAGCUAUCUUUCACUUGCAACAUCAACUUCUAAUAAUGGUUAUCUGCAAGAUGUCUAUGGUGGACAACAUGACGCAAAGGAGGUGAGAAAUAACAUUCAAUAUAAAUAAUGUAAAGAAUGCUAAGCUAUAGAACAUACAACAAACACAUUACAUAAUCAUCAACAUCAUAGUCUCACACUCAUUCAUAACAACAUACACAUAUUCUCAACCAAUAAACAACAUCAUUAAAAAUCAACUACAUAUGCAAAUAUGUAUGCAAUAUAAUCCACAACUGACUCAUUAUGCAUGUGGUACCAUAUCAUAAACAAUUGGUUCACUCAAGAACCGGGUUCGCCCAACUUGAAUCCUGAAUCCACCUGCUCGGAUUCUGGACAAGUCAUCAAUCCACCCUACUCGAAUUGCAACUUGCCCCUUUCAUCAACAACAACGACAUCACGAAUGUAUGUCAAAACACGUCAAUGCAACAACAACAACAAUGUUUAAAGUCCAGUCCCGAAAAUAAACAAAACAUGUAUUGACCCAACGAUAAUAGCUCCCCUACUUGAACUAUUAUUCACCAACACAACAACAACAUCAAUAUUAUAUGAUAACCUCAACAUAACAACACAAUCAUAACAACAUCAUCAACAUCAACAUCCUCAACACAAUAAAAUCAUAUAUUCCACUAUUCAAUAUAUACUUAAUUUAACACAUAAUUAUAUAUAACAUCACUUAAUUCAUCAACAUAGCUCAUGAUCAUACCACAACACAUUAAUAUCACAAUUUACAACAUUCAACACAACAUAUUCGUCACAAUAUAUACUCCUGGCAUAACAUCAACAAUAAUAUUCAACUAAGAUCUAUUUAUCCUCAAUUAAUUCAUGUUAGUACAUCACACGCAACCUCUGAAAACAUUACCAUUUAAUAAUAAUUCAUGUUAGUCUUCCAACACUUCGAACUGCGUCUCAAACAGAGUCACGAGUCCCAAGUUAAUAAAAACUGUAUUUGAACCAAAUCAGCCUAAUCGAUGACGGUUGGACCAUCAUCAUAGCUGACGCCCCUCAGCUGUUUCACGACUCACUGAACUGCUGCAGAAUGCAGAAUUCUACGUUUUUAAACUCUUGGAGGCUUUCUGGACCUCCGAUUUCGAUUCCAUAAAAAGCCAAACGUUCAAAAUUUGACACCCAAUAAUUAUAUAACAAUUAUACAAGAACCAACGCAAAUUAUACAUACUCAACAUCUAUUAAUCAUGAAUCAAUCAUGAAAUUAAGGUUAUGUUUUCAAAGCUCCAAGCACACAACCAGGGACGGAGCCAUAGAUUUUGAACUGUGGGGAUAAUAUAUUAAUAUAUAAAUUUAUUUUCAUUUAUUUUUAACUCAUAAAUAUAUUAUAUUUAUUUUUAAAUCAUAAAUAUAUACUAUAUUUAUUUUUAAUGAAAUUUUUCUCUAAAAAAACAUUUAAUAAUUUUCUAAAUUUUAUUAUCAAGAAAAAUAUUGUUUAUGCAUUUUUUAUGAGAUCAUAAUAUUAAUAUAAAAUCCUAUAAAUCAUUUUUUAAAAGAUUUAGGAAAAAACUAUUUUGAAAUUAUUCAAAAAAAAAACAAUUUGAAUAUAUUUAAUCUGACAUUUUUUGAUUUAAUUAUUAAAAAUAAAAACUCAUAUUAGUUUUCGGACAGUAUCCUAAACAUUAUUAUUUUUACCUAAUUUUUAAUAAUAUCUUCAUAAUAAUAAUAUUAUUUUAAUUAAUUUAAAAUAUAUGAUUUUAGUUAAAUAUAUUGUUUUGAUAAAUUAUAGCCUUGAGUUUUUCUCCCAUCUUUCAAUUCCACGUACUGUAACCCUUCUCACUUCUCUCCCUUUUAUUUAUUUAUAAUAAAACGUGUUCCCACCUAUUUAGAUAAUUCUCUUAUCACCCUUAUAAUUCUCCACAAUUCUCACCUUACCCUUUAUUCAUAUACUACCUCAUAAUUUCUUUUUAAUUAAAUUAUUAAUUAAUUUUUACCAUAAAGCCACAAAUUUCUACCAUAAUUUGUUUUAACUAAAACACAUAAUAAUUAAAUAAAUACACAAACAAUUUAAUUAACUAUAUUAAUCGAAUUUGGGGUCUUACAGUUGACACAUGUCGCAAAGUCCAAAUUUCAGGGGUGCUGUCAGAGAGUUUUGUACGUCCAACCAAAAAUUGAACCCCCUCAGCAUCCACAACACCUAUAAUUUCAAGGGAUGCUGCCAAAGACGCUUUGUACGUCCGACCAAAGCAAUUAAAUCCCCUUAGUAUCGAGCGUUCCUGUAGAUUUCAUGGGUGCCGUCGGAGACGCUUUGUACGUUCGACUAAAGCUAUCAAAUUCCCCCAGCCCCGAGCAUGCCUCUAGAUUUCAGGAGUGUUGUCGGAGACACUUUGUACGUCUGACCAAAUCAAUCAAAUCCCCUCAGCGCCGAACGUGCCUCUAGAUUCCAGGGGUGCUGUCGGAGACGCUUUAUACAUCCGACAAAAGCAAUAAAAUCCCCUUAACGCUGAGCACGCCUCCAAAUUCCUGGAGUGUUGUCAAAGACGCUUUGUACGUCCGACCAAAGCAAUCAAAUCCCCUCAUCCCUGAGCGCGCCUUCAAAGUCCAGGGGUGUUGUCGAAGAUACUUUGCACAUCCGACUACAAUAAUCAAUUUCCCAUGGCCUUACACACUUUCAAAAUCAAGGGGAGCUUUUGGAGCCACUUUGCACGUUCAACUACAUCAAUCGAUUCCCCCUAGGGGUGCUAUCGGAGACGUUUUGCACGUCAGAACUAUCAUUCAAAUAUCCCAUGUUAAAGAACUACAUGUAAUCAUGCGUAGCUGGCGCACCCCUUUUGAAUAUAGUCAAUCCAAUGGACGUGAGUAGUGGAGCCUAGAGAUGUCCACUUCGAUCUGAGCUAAUUCCUUGGGGAGAGGUACAUGGAUCCUCUACCCUUGGUCGGAGAAUGAUCCUCUGUAAUGCAUAAUACCAUUUAAAAAACAUAGCCACAUCUUGCCGGUUUCAUGUCCCUCGUCUGUAAGUAUGAUUCAAAGCAUAAGUGCAUUUAACCGAACUCAUGCUUUAUUCUUAUGAAUAUGAUCCAAAGCAUAGUCAUGCCUAAUCGGUUCAAUGCUAAAUCAUUACUGGUGCAAUUUAAAGCAAUCCAUCUCAAAGAAUGAUAUGUAGAAGUCUGGAGCGACUAUAAAUGAGUUAGAUUUAUAGCAAAAUUUAAUGAACAAGUGCUUAAUAUUAAAAUAUGAUUAUCUAACCCCUUGAUGAUUUAAGAAACCGAAGGAAUAGAUAAUUUAAUUUUCAAGUAAAAUAUAAAAUAAAUAAAAAAAAGGAACCACUUAUAAACAAUUAAAAACAUAAAGUGCAUAGGCUGGGAUUCGAAGCAUGUCAUGAAUUAUUUUUCUACUCGAUUAUUUUCUUAAAUCGUGGAAAUAGAUGAUAUUUAAAAUAAAUGGAGCGUCCUGGUAUUAUACUUCGAUUUUUUGUUCGAUGAAAUGAAAGUUUUAUCAUAAAAUAUAUUAUUUGUAAUAACGAGUAGGUAAAAGGAGAAAAUAUUCAACAAAUGACAAUCUGGGAAUCCCCAAGACGUCACAUCAAUAGGGAUUAAGACAUUAAGCAAUAAUUGUAGUCAUGACACUUACGAAUUAAUCAUGUCACACUUAUUCUUAGACCCCACAUAUUGAAUGAUGAAUAUAGAUUCUCUGUAGUGACUAAAUGACCCUGCUCAAUCACAAUCAUUCAUUUCAAUCUACCUCAUGCAGUCAACAAUAUUAACUAAUACGUAAAUGACUAAGAUUGAAGUUGGGUCAAAAACAUGAGAAAGGGAGCAAGAGAUGAUCUGUUUCAGUGAAUGAUAUAUCACAUUAUGACAAAAAAAAAAGGUAAAGAAAUUCAAAAACAUAAAUUCAAAAACGCGUGCAGAAGAACAAGUUGAACUUGGUUGUUAGAGAAAAAUAAAUCUAACAUUUGUGAAUUUUUUUUCUCUAAGACAUGUGCACAAGAGAAGGUACACAAUAUUCUAAUUGUAAAUACCUCACUUUUGAAGUUUACUAAAUUUGUUUUUUUUUUACCUUUUCCACUUUAGUAUCUACUUUAUUUAUUAUUUAUUUUAAAAUCUCAACACUUUUGAUUAUUACUUAUAUUGAUACUUUUUUACAUAUGAUCCUAACACGAACCAUUGUGGGCACAACUUUUAUUGAGCUAGCGUCCAACUUGAGAAAAUAUGGUUGGUUACAUCAAUAUCAAUAAACUAUUCAUUAAAUAAAAUAUCAUCAAACUUUCAAAUAUAUUAUCUUUUAUUUCAAAAAUUAUACUAACAAGAAGAUAGUAUAUUUAUAAUUAACAAAUAUUAAAAAGAAUUGAAAUUACCUCAUUUUGCCACCUCAUUCAUUUCUCAUUUUUUAUUUUUAAUUUUCUCACUAUUCAUUUUCUUCUCUUAAUUCAAAUUUCAAAUUCACCUCACAUUUAUUUUUUUCACACUUUCUCACUUUCAUUUUAAUUUUUUUCCUCCAUUUUUAUCUUUAUAUUUUAUUUUUUAAAUAUAAAUAACAAAAUUUGAAACUUUUUUUAAUUUAAUGAAGAAAAACACAGAAAAAUGUUAAAUUUCUAAAACACAAAAUUUAUUUAAAAUAAAAACAUAAUUAUUUUAUAAUUACUAUAUAUAAAAAUUAUUUAUAAUUUAUAUGAUUGUUGUUGUUUUUAUAAUUAAAUAACUCAUUUGAAAUUCAUAUAUAUCUAAAUACAUUUUAUACUAUAUCAAAUUAGAUACACCAUUCGAUCACUAUUAUAAACAAAUCUGACUUUUUUGGUACAUUUGACUAUCAAUUUAUCUAAUCCAUAUAUCGACUAGAUACAUUGACAGUCAAAUGUAUCAAAAAAAUCAAAUUUGUUUAUAAUAGUGAUCGGAGGAUGUAACACUUAAUAACAAUGCACACAACUAACUUUUCUUCUCACGAGUCUCUUUUUUAUAUGAUUAUGUAAUACAAUUGAGUUUAUAUGAUCAUUAUUCAUUUUAUAAUUAAGUAGCACAUUAUAAAUUAACAUGGAUAUCUUAAAACUUUUUAUAUUGUAUGAAAUUGAAUAUCACUCAAUAAUAAUGCACACCACUAAUUUUCUAUUUCACAAGUCGCUAUCAGAAUGAUAUCUUUUUAUUUUAAUCAAUAAUUAUCUUUAAUUAAAAAAUGUAUUAUUUAUUUUCAAAUGUGAAAAAAAAAUUCCAAUUUUUUUUUCAUUUCAAUUUUUUUUCACUUAAAAUAGUCAUAAUACUAAAUUAUAAUAAUGUUUUGGGAUUUAUUAAUAGUCCCAACAAUUAAAUAUUACAUGAAGCUUAAUCAUACAUAAUUUAAAUUAACUUUAAUGACUAGAAAAUCCAGAAAGAAAAUGGCCUUAUUAAUAGAAAAGUUUGUUCAUCCAAUAUAAAUUUUUGAGUUUCCUAAAUUAAAGAGUUUUUUGUGUUAUAAUAAAUAAACAAAUCCUCCAAAACCUUCCAAACUAAAAUUCUUCUAUUAUUUUCAAUCAAUCCUUUAUAUUUUUUUAAGUCAUCUCCUAUCUCCCCCUCCAAAUUCGUAAACAAUAUGGUUUUGAUUUCUAUUUCUCUUAAUUGUUUAAAAGUGAAUUUGUUCUUAUUAGUAUUGAAUACAAGGGAAAUAUAUCAAUAAUAUUGAUGUAAAAGAUUUGUGUAUAUUGAUAGUAGUGUAUUAAAACUCUGAUUAUUCUGGUAGUCAAAUCGAUUAAACCGUGAUCCGAAGGAUAGAGCGGUUCAGUAAAAUCAUCAGAUCAUAGUUGUAACUGAUUCGGUGAAAACAAGUGUGACUUGUCGGUUCAGUGAUCAAAUCAAUGAAUCAAUAAGUUUCUUGAUUCAGCAUAUUGAUCUUUUUAUCUUUAUUUUUUUAGCAUAAUUAUAUUUUUGAUCUCUUAUUUUUAUUUUUUAAAGUUUUCGUGUCCUAUUUUAAAAAUCCAUUUUUAUUAAUAUUUAUAAUUAUGUUAAUUAUUUAUAAUAAUUAAUAAUGUUAAAAUUACAAAUAUUAAAUUUUGUCAUAUUUUAAAACCGGAUCAUUCACUUUUCAAAAAUAUUAAGAUUGUAUUUUAAAAAUCCUUUUAAUGUUUAAUGUAAUCAAAGAUUUUUUAUUUAUAAUUAUAACAUUUCUCUCUAAUGCAUUCUCAUCAAAUUUAUUUAUUAUUAAUCAUAUACUAUAAUAAAUUUAAAAAAUCAGAAAAUUAAUUAUAUAAUAUAAUAAUAUUAUAAAUUAAUAAAAGUUUUGAAACAUGUUACAAAAAUAUUUCAGUAAGAUCUCAUUAUUUGGAGAAAAAAAUUUAUUUCACAUUAUUUCUAUUAUAAAUCUCAUUAUUAUUUUUUUAAAAGUCACAUUAUUCUUAUAUAGACUUUUUUUUCACUCUAUCUUUUAUUUUUUAUUAUUUAUAUAGAGCUUAAUGUUUGUUUAUCUUCUAGAUUAAUUUACUAGUUUAUGGUAUUAUUAUAUCAAACAAUUAUAUUUUUAAUUUUUGGCGAUUUAUGAGUAUCGACAAGAAUUUUUUACUCAAAUACCCCACAUUUUUAAUUUUUUUUCUAAAAUAACCCAAUUUUCAAACAAAUUCUCAAUCUACCCUAGUUUCAAAAGAAAUUGUUAAGACAUAGGUGUCAGACCAAUUGACGUUUAUCCUUAAUUUUUAAGAGGGGACACCAAUUGAAUUGGAUACAUCACAUGUUGUUGUCAAUCCAAUUAGCGUCCAUGUAUGCUAUAUGAGAGGAGACGCCAAUUGGUCUAGCGCCUCAUUGUAAUGUGCAAUUUUUUUUUAUAAAUAGAGGUGUUGUGUGAUUCAUUUUUCUACACCUCUUUGCAUCAUAUUGCAAACAUGUUUCGUAUUCGUCGCCGCUAUGGAAAAGUGAUUUAUUCGAGAGACAAGCCUUCGAUGGAGAUGCUCUUCUGGAACAUAUGUCGUUUCGAGCAACUAAAGAGGGAGCUGGUUCGUUGGUUAGAUGGGAAAAUAUCAGAAUGAGAAAAAAUUAGAAGUAUUGAGAGUCUCGAUAGUGUAUUUGGUUGGGUGCGAGUAAAAACUGAUAAGGAUGCUAGGGAAAUGAUGUUUGGACCAGAUGACAUCAGUUUGAUUAUUAUAAUCAGUUAGAAAUGUUGUUUUUUAAUAUUGUGGUUAACUAUUUUCAUUUGUAUUCGAUAUUUGUUGUUUGUGUUGUUUAUUUAGAAUUGUUCGAUUUUAAGUGUGCUUAUGUUGGAGUGAUGUUUGUUGUCAACUUUGUUGUAACAAAAAGUUAUUAAUAUAUAAAAGUUCAAGGUUACAAAAAUUGAAAGGAGAUACUAAAUUAUGAUGCAGAGGUUGCUCCUAGAUUGAGACAUUUGUUCUUAUUGUGUCCGGGUUGACGACAUAUACUACAUAAUCUUAUCAUUUUAUCAAUCGUAUCCAUUUCUAUUCUAAUACGCGUGUUGUUUGGCCGUCCUUUUUUAUUUCUUCGCAUUCCAUCGUUGUGCCAAACUAUGUCCCCUUCAUAUGGAGGCCAGUAUUCCUCCAUUGCUAGCAUUGAGAAGCUUUCGUUAUACACAUUCAUGACUAUAAUGGCCUUGUAAACAUCAUAUAGAUGGUUGUAAGCGUCCUGACGAGUAUGUGCGCAUGCCACAAUGAUAUGGGAGCAAGGAAUAUGUAAGGCCUGAAACUUUCCACAGUCGCCCCAAUUUCUGUUUAGUCUGACAGCAUAGAAUAAAUUUGGUCUUCCCUCAUUGUGGUCCAUUGUUUCCUAUACUAUUAAGCUAUAUUUGGUAUUUUACGCUAUAGAUGGAAAACAUUCUACUAGUAAUAACAGAAUCAUAUUCUGUUCAGCUAUGUUUGGUAAACAUCCUGCUAGUAAUAACAGGAUCGGAUUUUAUUCAAUAUUGUAAUUGUACAGCUGUAUAAUAGAAUUAGAAAUUACAGUAUUAUAGGCAUGAUUAUAGGAGCUAACAAAUGCCUCAUCUUGUAUAUAAUGUGACCUAUCUAUUUUGAGAAAUACACAACGUGAAUCAAUUUCUACAUGGUAUCAGAGCCAUGGAAGGAGAAAAAGAUCCAAAAUCUUCAGUAACCGGAGAUGAGCAAUUCAGAAGAAAAAAAGCCAUCACCCCUACGAUCUCACCUCCAACGACAACCCUGGAAGUGUGAUUACGCAAGUGCAGCUGCGGGGUGAAAAUUAUGAUGAAUGGGCUAGAGCUGUGAAAACAUCCUUAAGAGCAAGGAGAAAAUGAGGGUUCAUUGAUGGAACCAUAAAGAAACCUGAAGAAGAAUCCUCUAUGAUGGAGGAUUGGUGGACUGUUCAGGCCAUGUUGGUGUCAUGGAUCUUGAAUACGGUAGAACCUAGUCUGCGAACGACCAUGUCCUAUUUUGAAACCUCUAAGGAGCUUUGGGACGACAUAAAGGAGAGAUUUUCUGUCGUAAAUGGCACGCGCGUUCAACAACUCAAAUCAGAAUUGGCUCAAUGCAAACAAGGAGGUUUGUCCAUGGUGGCCUACUAUGGAAAGUUGAAGGCUCUGUGGGAUGACUUAGCAAACCAUGAACAGGCACUGACCUGCACUUGCAAGGGGUGCACGUGUGGUAUUCAAAUAAAACUUGAAAAACACAGAGAAGAGGAACGAUGUCACGUGUUUUUAAUGGGCUUAGAUGAUGGGCUAUAUGGAACUGUGCGUUCCAAUUUGCUAGCCACCGACCCCAUGCCAUCUUUGAAUAAGAUGUAUUCUAUUCUGGUGAGGAACUGUGCGUUCCAAUUUGCUAGCCACCGACCCCAUGCCAUCUUUGAAUAAGAUGUAUUCUAUUCUGGUGCAAGAAGAACGAAUGCGAUCUAUCACGCGAAAAGAAGAAAGGACAGAAGUUAUGGCUUUGGCAGUUCAAGCAAAUGCAAAGAUGAAAGGGCGUGAGAUCAAGAACGAAUUUGUGUGUACGCACUGCAAUAGAUCGGGUCAUGAUGAAGCUGGAUGCUUCCAGCUAAUCGGAUACCCAGAAUGGUGGGGCGAACGUCCCAGAAAUGAUGAAAAAGCAGUAGGGCGAGAAAGAGGCCAGAAUCGCGCUGGAGGUACUGCAUCUAACAGUGGACGUGCUCAAAGAGGACCGGCGCGUGCGCAUGCUGUCCAAAACAUGGGAUUUGGUGGUGGAGAUAUAGAGAACCCUGUCAUGACAGGAUUGAGCAAAGAGCAGUGGAAAACUCUAGUGGAAAUGUUGAACACCUCAAAAGUUACUUCAAAUGAAAGCAUGACCGGUAAGACUAAACUCAGCGCUUGGAUCCUCGAUAGCGGAGCAUCUAAUCAUAUGACAGGAAUAAUACAACACCUAUGCGAUGUGAAGGAAGUAAUUGGUUGUCCCGUUGGACUUCCUAACGGAAAAACUGUAAUGUCAACUAAAGAAGGAAAAAUAAAGCUUGCUGCAUGAUUUAAUACUAAAAAUGUGCUUUAUGUUCCUCAGUUGAAUUGCGAUUUUUUCUAUAUCACAAUUGUCAGAUGAAUCCAAUUGUAAUGUUCAUUUUACCGCUGAUUUGUAUGCUAUUCAGGACGCGUCGAAGAUGCUGAUUGGAGCGGUGUACGAAGGGAUGGACUCUAAUUAUUCCGGAGGUCCGAAAGUAAGGCUACAAGGUUGAAGGAUUAAAUCAACUAGAAGUGUGGCAUAACGCUUGGGACAUCCGUCUUGGAAAACUACUCAGUUAGUCUCUAAUUGUAAUGGAAGUGGUGUUAGUGAGUUGAAAAUAAAGUUUGUGAUACAUGUCAAGAGACUAAACAACUAGAGAAAAUUUCCGUUGAGUAAUAACAAGCUCUGAAUAUUUGUUUAUCAUUGGUUUUUAUGGGGAGCAUAUAGAACUCCCUCUUCUUGUGGUGCUUCAUACUUUCUUACUAUAGUCGAUGAUUGCUCACGUGCAGUUUGGAUUUCUUUACUAAUUGAUAAAAAAGGAAGUGUCAAGGACACUGACAAAAUUUUUUUCUAUGGUGGAAAGGCAGUAUAAUAAGAAGGUCAAAACCGUAAGAAGCGAUAAUGGAACAAAAUUUAUUUGCAUGAAAAAAUAUUUUCUUGAAAAUGGGAUAAUGUUCCAAACUUCUUGCACAGGAACACCCCAACACAAUGGUAGAGUCGAAAGAAAGCAUCGGCAUAUUCUAAAUGUGGCGCGAGCUUUAAGAUUUCAAGGAAAUUUGUCCAUUGAUUUUUGGGGUGAAUGUGUCUUGACAUCAGGAUACUUGAUUAAUCGAACUCCAAGCUCCAUUUUAAAAGGAAAAAGCCCAUAUGAAAUACUACAUGGACAUGCACCAUGUUAUACUCACUUGCGUGUUUUCGGUUCCUUGUGUUUUGCACGAAACCAACAUACAAAUGGAGACAAAUUUGCGACUCACAGCCGUCAGUGUGUUUUCGUUGGGUAUCCUUAUGGACAAAAAGGAUGGAGAGUUUACGAUCUUGAAAGCCAUGAAUUCUUUGUGUCACGAGACGUAAUUUUCUCUGAAGAUCAGUUUCCAUUUCACGAAAUUGAAAAAACAAAAAGAUGAUGUUGGGACAAUAGAGACGCUGAGCUCCCAAUCACUGAAGAGGAUGAAUGGAAAAUCAAAAUAAAGGUGGACAACAUAUCAAAAUGAUCAUAAGUAGAACUCAUACAUGAAAAUAGGGGGGAUCCUGCUAUAGAGGAUGGUGAAGAAAGUACUGAUGCAGUAACAGACCCCAUACAUAUACAAUCUCAAACCAGUCACGACGAGGAUGAAAAUGAAUCUUUGGGGCGCGGUUGCCGUGUCAAGUAUCCGUCCCCUCGGUUGCAAGACUAUGUCACAAACACGGUUCAUAAGUUGAGUCCUUCACCUUGCUCAUCCGCUCAAUCACACGCUUCAGGUGCACCAUAUCCUAUCACACAUUAUGUAAAUUGUGAAAAAUUUUCUUUGCCGCAUAAGCAUUUUCUUGCAGCAAUUAGUGCCGAAAAAGAACCACUCUACUUUCAUGAGGCAGUGAAGGAUGCUCGUUAGAGAGACGCAAUGCAAACUGAAAUCGAAGCCCUUGAACGAAAUCAUACUUGGAGUAUACAAAAACUACCUCAUGGGAAGAAAGCUCUUGGUUGCAAAUGGGUGUACCACAUAAAACACCACUUUGAUGGUACAAUUGAACGAUUUAAAGCUCGAUUAGUCAUACUCGGCAAUCACCAAGUGGAAGGGGUCAAUUACACUGAAACGUUUGCACCGGUCGCAAAAAUGGUAACGGUACACACUGUCUUGGCAGUGGCAGCGGCAAAAGCUUGGGAACUCCAUCAGAUGGAUGUGCACAACGCGUUUCUACACGGGGAUCUGCAUGAAGAGGUUUUCAUGAAAAUGCCUCCUGGUUUUUCAGCUUCGCAACAAGACAUGGUCUGCAGACACAUGAAGAGGUUUUCAUGAAAAUGCCUCCUGGUUUUUCAGCUUCGCAACAAGACAUGGUCUGCAGACUACAUAAAUCUCUUUACGGUUUAAAACAGGCUCCACGUUGUUGGUUUGCCAAGCUUUCGGUUGCUCUCAAAUCUUACGGAUUCCAACAAUCAUACCUUGAUUAUUUUUUGUUUACUUUGCACCAAGAAGAUACCCACCUUGUGGUUCUUGUUUAUGUUGAUGACUUAAUCAUUGCAGGAAAUACUUCCUCUGCCAUCAAGCAUUUUAAGCUCUACCUUAGCACUUGUUUUCAUAUGAAAGACUUGGGUGUAUUGAAGUAUUUUCUCGGUAUUGAAGUUGCUAGAAAUUCUACAGGUAUUUUUCUUUGUCAGCGCAAAUACGCACUUGACAUCAUAUCUGAAGCCGACCUUCUUGGUGCUAAACCUGCGCCCACCCCACUGGAGCAGAACCAUCGCUUAUCACUAGCUGCGGGACCGUUGCUUUCAAAUCCCGAGAAAUACCAGCGUUUGGUUGGGCGAUUGAUUUAUUUGUGUUUCACUCGGCCUGAGCUAUCUUAUUGUAUUCAUAUUUUGUCUCAAUUCAUGCACGAACCUCGUACGGAUCAUUGGGAGGCUGCAUUAAGAGUGGUUCGGUUCUUGAAAGGCAAUCCAGGACAAGGAAUAUUUUUCAGUCAACAAUGUGACCUGCAACUUCAUGGUUGGUGUGACUCAGAUUGGGCUAGCUGCCCUCUGACUAGGCGAUCAGUCACUGGCUGGCUGGUGCAGCUUGGUGACUCUCCUAUUUCUUGGAAAACGAAAAAACAACACACGGUCUCUCGGUCAUCUGCUGAGGCUGAGUACCGGUCAAUGGCGACUACUACAUGCGAGUUAAAAGGGUUAAAGGGAAUCCUCUCCAAUCUAGGAAUUGAUCAUAACAAACCCAUGACCAUUCACUGUGACAGUCAAGCGGCUUUACACAUUGCCAAGAACCCGGUGUUCCAUGAACGCACCAAACACAUUGAAGUUGAUUGCCAUUUCGUCCGGAAUGAAAUUCUCAAAGAUAAUAUCCGUCCAAUUUAUGUCCCUACUACUGCUUAACUUGCGGAUAUACUCACAAAAGCAUUAGGAAAGCCACAAUUUAACUCUUUUAUCAACAAGUUGGGCAUUAGAAAUCUUCAUGCUCCAACUUGAGGGGGGCUAUUAAGCUAUAUUUGGUAUUUUACGCUAUAGAUGGAAAACAUUCUACUAGUAAUAACAGAAUCAUAUUCUGUUCAGCUAUGUUUGGUAAACAUCCUGCUAGUAAUAACAGGAUCAUAUUUUAUUCAAUAUUGUAAUUGUACAACUGUAUAAUAGAAUUAGAAAUUACAGUAUUAUAGGCAUGAUUCUAGGAGCUAACAAAUGCCUCAUCUUGUAUAUAAUGUGACCUAUCUAUUUUGAGAAAUACACAACGUGAAUCAAUUUCUACAUAUACACUGAAAUUUUGCCUAUGACGGUCAAAGAUUGUAACUGCGUGUGUGGUAGCUUUAAUAGUUUCCUCUUUCAUUACUUUCAUACAACAUUCAUUGAAUAGUUGAACUGAAAUUAACAGUGCAUUCCAUCUUUCACCUCUGAAAUCAACGAACAAGACACAACCGUUUGGAUUGCAUGCACACCGAUCAUAAGAUUCACCAUUGUGGAGAUGCACCAUAAUGAUCGUUUUAAAUUGUAGUUCAGUAUGCUUCAACACAUCCCAGAACCCCCGAAAAACCUCGGAGAAUGACAUCUACGAAAAGUUAACGACCAAUGGAACUUUAACCAUUGGCAAAGCUUCGCUAGAUCUGAGUGUCGAAAAUGGAAGCACCGACAAGACCAUGUCUUAACUGACGAUGUGAUGUCAACCGAACAAAAACCAAAUCGUAAUUAUAUGACUUGGUACAUAUCAGUUGAAUUUGAGCUCCUCGACGAUGAUAUGUACCUAUACGACCCACGCCAGAUAACUUACACAUAAGAAGGUUCAACAUCUAACCCCUAACAACAUUGUCAGACCGGUUACUCACAACCCCAUAUCCACAGUACCAAGAGCAUACCCCGUACCACCACCAACAAGUAGAUCAUCAUCAAGACACCCAACAUCGCUAUGCACCCAACACAUCACCCUACUAUAUCCGUUUUAGCCAAAACACCCAACGAUCAUUUAAUACAAACCGUCUAUCCUCCUACUAUAGCCAAGAAGGCCAAACAACACAAAACCAAAACAUGCAACAACCAUAUGGCUACCAAACACCACAACAAUCAUUUUAACCUUUCCUCAAUGCAUCAUUCACACCAAUGUCGUCCUUCAAUCGUCCUGGUCGCCUUCCAAUAACUCAGCUAUGGCGGUAGCGCUUCAAUGCAUACACAAGAAUAUGCAGAUUUGUCUGAAUAUCUUAGGAAAUCUCUUGCAGGCGGUGGUGAUGUUCCUGGGUCCUUAGAUACUCAAACACCUGGGGUGAAUCAUCAAUGUGGGUUAGGGCCACGCGUUCGGGUAGCUAGGGGAUGUGGGUCCGGAGGUCGGUUAGGUCAUCCCGGUCAGCGACAUUAGUCUUUUUGUAUAAACGCAUAUUAAUAUUAAUAUAAAUUAGUCCGAUUUUGAUUUUUAUCUAAAAUGUACAUUGUUUUUCAAAAAAAAUUACGAAACACACAGAGGUGUCAAAGCAAUUGGCGCCUCCUUUGUAAAUUAACACACAAGCGCCAAUUGGAUUGACAACACUAGGUGCACUAGCCAAUCCAAUUGCCGCCACCUCUCUAAGUUAAAGAGCAGACACCAAUUCAUCCGGCGACACCUCUUCAAAAUGGGGUACUUUGGGAAAUAAUCUGAAAAAUGGAAUAUUUUGAGAUUUUUUUAAAAAAAUUGGAUUAUUUGGGUAAAAAAUUCCAUCAACAAAUUGGUAUGUUUGGAAGUUGAAAUUUUAUUUAAGAUUGUUAUUCAAAUUAGUUAAGAUUUAAGAUUGUUAUUCAAAUUAUUUGUAUAGAUAAUUUUAUAGAACUUUUUUUGUAGUUUUAUAGUUAUUAAAUUAUCUCAAAGAUUUUAUUUCAUAAUUCUUUUUAUUUGUAUAAACUAAAUUAUAAGUUAGAAGGUCCGACUGAAUCUAACCCGUAACUCAGCGACCAAAUAGUUGAUCGGGUUAUUGACCGGUCUGAAUUUUAAAAUAUUGAUUUAUAGAAAAAUUGUCUUUUAUGUGUAUACGAAUAUAUCAAACAUUAAUUGAUUCAAUGUGAUUGUUGUUAGAUUUUGUAAGGAGAAUUACGGUUUGAUCUGAUCCGUGUUAAUGUGAUUGGAAGGAGGCUAAAACAAUUUCAUCUUAGAACUCACUUCCAAACCAUUAGAUGCUUUGCAAAAUUUAAUUUGUCUCAAAUUCUAACUCACUUUAUAAUUCCAAUAUAACAUUUAAUUUUUUUUCCUAAUAUACUCUCAAAUAUUUAUUAAUUAUGUUUUUUAAUUCGCGUGAAAUGUCCAAACAAUCAUAUAAUUUAAGAGAGAUGUAUUAUAUCCAAACAUAAAUCAAUGAUGUUAAAUUCAAUAGGUAUUCUCUUUGAGAUUUUCACACAUAAUGAUUAGUGGUGUUGAUUUCCUUAUAAAAUAAAUGGUAUUUACUAAAAUACUUUAUUAAUAAUAUAUAGUAAAAUAAUUAAAUAAUUUAAAAUAUAAUAAAUAAAAAUAAGUUAGUAAAAAAAAAAUAUCACUGUAUUUUAAAAGACAAGAAAAUUGUUUGAAACAGAGGGAGUAGUAUAAGAACAUAACAUUAACAUUCUUAAAAACACUAAGAUAAGAUAACAUAUUAACAUUAACACUUGCUUAUUCAAAAAAACAAAACACAAGAGUACAUAAGAAAAAUUAAGAAUGAAGAUUUAAAACAAAGAAAAAACAUGAAGAAAAAGAGAAAGAAAGUGAGAUUAUCCUUUUUAGAACAUGGCUAGAAACAAGCUGUGUCACCAAAAAGAUAGCUUCAAUAGUUUACAAACAACACUAGUACCUCAAACACAGCAAACAAACAUAUGAUGACGUGGCUCAAUGAGAGAGCGCCACGCGUCAAAACAUGACAAAAGGAACCUUAAUAUCUCACCGACAAACACCAUCAUGUUUUUUCUUUCCCACUCUUUCCUUUUCACUCACAAACGUUCAUUCACACAAAAGCUCCAAAAUCUCAUUUUCUAAAACAAACCCUAUACUUCAAAAUUCCCCAUAUGCAAACACACUCCGCAAAACCCUAACUUUUUUCUUCAAAUUUUUAGAUCAGUGUUUGAUUUGUAUUCAAUUCAUCUUCGAUUUUUCAAGGUGAAAUUGUUGGGGGCGUGAUUACUUCUCUUCUGAUGUAUGAUUU